rnacentral:misc_RNA from 1 species
GUGAAUCAUCAAAUUUUUGAACGCAAAUUGCGAUUCCUAGGAGAGGGGGAAGUAUGCCUGUUUGAGGGUCAGUAUUAACAAAAAAAUUGGUUUGGUGGAAAAUUGGGAGGUUUCCGGAGUUUGGGAUAUCUUAACUUUUUUGGUUAAGGGGCUUAAAAUUGAUCUUUUUUGUGCAUUUUUAGACGUACAUAAAUUUUUUUUUUAUUCGUCGAGGCGUAAUGCCAAAUUCUUAGGUGCUG